GGAGAGGUGGGUGAGUGGCUGAAACCAGUUCCCUGCUAAGGAACCAUACGGGUUACCGUAUCGCGGGUUCGAAUCCCGCCCUCUCCG
rnacentral:tRNA from 2 species